UCCUCUUAGGAGCCUUCUUUCCACAGUAUUUUCCAGGUGGCAAGUUCCCUUGCUCAUCACCCCUUGUUGUUGUGGAUUUGAUCUAUAAAUUCUCUCAACCAGCCUCCCACUAACUGACGCUGGGUGAACAGAACUUCUCCAUUUUCUUCGUGACUGAUGCCAAAGACAACGGUGUUUAAGGCUAGUGGGUUCCUCUCUGAUAAGAGCAGACUAACCAUGGUAUUGAAUCCUAUCAGUUAAAUAGAGUUGAGAGACCAGAAGGGGGAGCUCUCACACCCUGGGACAAUAGUAGAGCCCAACAGGAAGAAUAAAGAGUCCUUUUCUUUGCUGGCAAGGACACGACCAAUGAAAAGUCGUGGACUCUAUUUACUGCAAGCCUCCCAAUUUCCUUUUCCUCUCAAUAAAAAUGUUCCUUCCCUUGGUGUGGGGAAGACUUGGCAGUGACUGGCCGUGGUUGCAGACCUUAAACUGUGAUUCUUUGUUGAUCCCCAGUAAAUCCGUCUUUGCAGGAGACAUAUCUGGCAGUCUGUCUCAGGUCAACAAAGCCCAUUCCUUUUUCCUCCACUUCCUGUCACUCUGAUGCUAAUUCUCUCUGGAUCGUGCAAGUCUUUGUGGUUGUCCAUGUGUGCCCACAUGGUGAGGUCUGUGAGGUUUUUUUAUAACUGUCUGGAGGUUUUUGAGUUUGCUCUCUUUAUUUUCCUGUCUGAAUUACGGAUGAAUUAAGGGAGAUUCAUCCACUAUUCCAAAACUAUACCAUCACUGCCCAAGUUUUGCCAUAUCUGCCCCCCCCACCCUGCCUCUGCUCCUUUUUUUUAAAUCGCAGUUUCCAGCCCAUUAAGUUAAUUAGUAAGCUUCUAAUGGGUGGAGACCUGUCAUUUGAAAAGCAAUAGUCUGUGUAGUCUGUGGCUGUGUAUUGUGGAAUUUAUUGAAAUACUGUACUUGCAUACUGUACCUGUGUGUAAAUGACUGUGCUUGUGUCUAUCUCUCUUUGGAGAUGUUCUGUUCACUCCUUCCACUCUCCCCAUUCUCAUCAAUCUGAUUUUCAAAAAAAUCUAGAAAACUUGCGUUAAUAUGUGUCCAUAGAUUAAACAAGACCAACAGAAAUGUAUACCUCAACUAUAUUGUUUUAAACCCACUAAUCUCCACAGUGUCUCUUUUAUGAAACAUUUUUUGUUUUUAUUGAAUAAACAUUGCUUUACUUUGAAGGAUGUUAAAACGUUCAAAGAAAUAUAUUUGUUAUUGUUGUAUUUAUUUUAAGAAUUUUAUAUUAUAUCCUCUUAACAAAUAUCCAUAGGAAAAAUUUCUCUUGUGUCUCAGUAUCAAGAAUUGUCAAGUGUUACUAUUAUCUGAAAAACAACUCAUAAUUUAUGAGUAUUUUUAGGAUAUAAAUUUUUAAGAUGUAUUCCUGAUUCUUAAGCUUUGACACUUUGAUUAAAGUCAGAUAUUUUAAUAUCAUUGUAUUAAUGUGAAUACUCCUGUAAAUUUGCCUGCUUUUAUAGUACUAUUCAACAAUGUUCAUUCUUCAUUUAUUCUUUUUCUCAUCUACUUGUGAGACUUUUCUGUCUGAUGCUGAUAAUAAAAACCUUCAAUGAAGUACUA